AAUUGUCUGUAUGACUAUUUUCCUAUAUUUGGAAUUUGGAAUUUUUCAAUUUCCUAGUUUUCCCAUUUUUGUGUUGAAAGAAUUUGCUUAAUUUGGAAAAUUUACCAACUUAUUCGAUCUGUCCAGUACGGUAAUUUUCUUAUUUCCCUUUUUUGCCAUUUCAAUUGGUUUCCAAUUUUCCUAUUUCAUAUUUGUCUAAUUCCCUUUUCCUAUGUGGCAGUUUUCGUAUUUUCC
rnacentral:lncRNA from 1 species